UCGCCCAGUAAAAACCAUCCCACUCGGAAAGGAGCGCACGGGGCGCCACGCGCAGGGUACCGAACGGUCCCCGACCUCGCUCCUCGGGUAACCCGUGCUGGCGUGGUUGAGAUCGAGGGCUAGGUGUCGGUGUGUGAGGAGGGAGGAGGGAGAGUAUCGGCGGUGUGGGGUAAGGAGAGAAGGAGUAGGGAGGAGGAAGGGCCUAGGGACGGUGGCGGUGUGGGUGAGCAGAGGAGGAGAGAGAAGAUCUAUUGAGGAGGAAGGACUAGAGACGCAGUAGACGUCGCGCUCUCCUCGUCGCCGCCGCCUCUACGAGGCUACCGCCGCAGCUCAACGCUUCGCCACCACGAGUCCGCGCUCUGUUGUCUUCGCCCUCGCCGAUGAGGACCGGGGCUAGACCCCCCAACCCAAGGUCCCACGGCUGCCGAAGUAACAGAUACUGCGCCCAGGCACGGUAGCCCCCUUCGGAACCUAGCUACAUCCCCCCGAGGGGCCCCCCGCGUCUCCUCCCCCAACCUGCUCGCCCACUCCUACGCACUCCGGUCUUCCUCAAACCCCAGCGGUCUCCUCGUAUCGGACGUGCCCCCGACCAGUAGCGAUCUCGUCUCCCCUCCUCCAGCUACGUCCCCUGCGGUACCUACCAGCCCCGCGACCGAGGAGGAAAGGGGUACGGUGGCCACAGGACGCAGUUACUACGGCGGUACCGGAAGAGCGGUGACUGGAGGGUUCACGAAGAGUGGCGACGUAAGGAGAAAGGUACUUAAAAAGGAAGGUGCGAUUCUACUUUACUGAGAAGGGUAUAGACUGGGAUAAAAAAUCAGACAAGAAGGACGACGAUUAAGAAUGAGAAGUCCUCGUCCCUGCCAGACAUCCGAUCGCCAUCCCCCUACUUGAGGGAAACAGGUCAUGGUCGGCCACUUCUACCUUCCUUCGGUACCCACGGAGUUCCGAAUCCUUGAAAAACCCUAUUGACUCAACCAUUUACAGUUUUUACCUAUUCCUAUUCCUUUAGUGGUAAGCUAAAUACUAACCCGCAACCAACCUCCGUAACCGUACUUCCACGGCACUCAAUAGAUGUUCCCGUAACAACACUGCACGAGGAGGUACAGAGGGCGCUCAAGAACAGUAAUAGCAAUUUAUUAUAUUACAAAUCCCAGUCAAAUCUACACAGCUGUUUUUUAUACUCGACGUAGCAGAUAGUCAGGAUCUUCGAGACUAGAAGCAGACGGUAACUUGGCUCGAGUAGACAGACCCAUACCGUCACGGCACACGGCACACGAUGUCGACCCGUCGUUCCUGUCCGCUGGUGUCCGUCUACCGUAGCCACCGUUACCGUUGUACACGCCACGUGUCGCACUCCUCAAGUCAUUCCACCUGACCCGUGACGGAGGGGUGAUCACAAGGUCCUGCCGCACGGGCUGCCGUCGUAUACAUCGCUCCUGCACGCUGGGACUCGUCGAAAACUCCUCGAAGGGGAGGCGAGGACGAGAAAGAGAACAGUUAAUGAUGUAUAUUUACGUGAACUAUACACAACUAAAAAAACGAUAGUAGUAGAAGAGAACUCCUAUAAUAACGGAAAGAACCUCUAAUAUCUCUACUAUCUUAAGAAUAAGGUAUUAUAAGUAGUACAAUAUAUCAUUACGUUACGUAAGAAAAAAAGGAACCCUACUAAAAAGAGCCUUCAUUGAACCGGUUAUUACUGUAAAAAUAUACGACGUUGGAUCUUCUUUGUUGGUGGUUACCUGUCCUUAAGCAGUGUAAUUGACCAGAUAGAGAAAGUCAGGUACGGCUGCUUCGUUAUGUCUUCGUAGGAGGACGACAUUAUUGAUGUAGAACCGAAAAUGCAAACAAUUACCUAAGGGGUGGUCGUCGUUUCUUGACAAAGAAAAAGCUAUCGAUGAUAAAGAAAAGAAGGAAAGAUGACAAGCGUUUACAGGACUACAAAAAUACACGACACAAACCCACAAAUUGAACCGUUCAUGUACGUAGACCUCGUUUCGUACUUCGUGUUCGAAGAGUUCCAUGAAGUAACGUAUCAUUAUCAUACGUUGAAAGUCUCAAGAUUAAACAGAGACAAUAUUGGCCAAAUCAAACUGGCUAAAUUUAAAGAAUAAGUACGUACAUAUGUGUUUAACGUCCCACAUAAUCACGAAUACUUUGAAUGAAAACCAUACGAAAUAAAAGUUCGAAGUUCCACAUAAUUAAUAAGGUUGAAAAUACAAUCUACAGACAUCAAAAAAAAGGCAACAAAAGUAUUAUUGACCUUUUGAUUAAACCAUAGGAAUAACAAUAAUGAAGAUCUACAAUGACCUUGACUUAAAACUUGUCUUAUAUCACAUAACGUCGUACAACGUUACGUCGGAAGAGAAAAAGAUUCUCGUUAACUAAUACAAAAAAUAAAGUGCCCAAUACGUAUCAACAAACAAAGGGAAAGGAUAAACUUCAAAACAGACACAAAGUCUGAAAGUAAUCUUUUUCGCCAACAGUAAGACCCGUACAUCAAUAACCAGGAAAUAAAGAACGAACAAAUCGAAGGUAAAUGAAAAGACAUACGUAACCCGCACCUCAUAAACCCUAGAAGUCACUUCACAUCAUAUAACAUGAUGGACCUAAUUGGGAAUUGUGUCUACCAAUCUAAAAUACAAUUUCGAUCGUUACGUAACCGAAAUCAACGAUAAUGGUUUCUGAUCGACAGUCCCUAUGAAAGAACUUGGAAAGAAAAGAACAGCGACAUAACAUCGUAUUUUUGGAUUUUACCCAGGUAGGUAAGUAAUGUGGUACAUCAACUACACACCGGACAUAUCUUACGUUUAUACGUUGAAGAGACUCAGGUUUAAACAUGAUAUUCAGGCAAUAAAGUAAAUUUUGUUAUACACGGUACACUAAUACAAUGUACUGCCAUACUAGGUCUCAAGUCAAAUACUAAGAAGGUGCUACCUUUGUCACUAAUGGGUAAGUGUUAGAUUCGGAAGGAGUUCAUCAUACCUAUAUCACGAUGGUCCUAUGAUUCAUAUAAGUACUUCAACACGUUUCAAAUUUUAACAACACCGUAGAGCGUAUACAGUUUGGGAGUAUACAACGACCACCCGUACGAAUACGCGUACUAUAAUUCAUUCGAACACGAUACGACAAUGAUUUAUUUUAGUUACAAGUCUGAAUAGAAAACAAAAGAGAUGGAUUUCUCAGGUCACAAAAUGGCUCUCCCGUUAAUAUACAAAGGAAGAUUGACAAAAGAGAGCAUACUACAACUCAUUUAGUGACUACAAAGAUAAAUGAACCGGAUGUAAAACCAAAAGUUUAUCAAGACGGAGAGUUAAACUAUACAGAUGAAGGAAAACGAAUCAUUAUACUACACAACAAAAGAUCGAGAUCCGGAUGAACACAAGUUCCAAGUCAACUAACACAAAGAAUUCCCAGAAAAAAAUUAAUCACCGUAGUUAUACACCGUGAUUAAGGUAACACGUAAUAUGACACUAAAAAGGUUCGUUGUGGUAAUACCAUAAAAAAUUAGGGUAAAGUUCAAAGUGAACUAGUGAUCGGAGAAACAAGAGAGGAGUAGUAGUACCAGAAAGAAUUCCCACAAGUCCGUAAAAAAAGGAAGACAUUUAAUCAACAGAAGAUAAGCACAACGCUUGAACCGUAGAGUGGUAAGGGGUACUAGGUGUACAAUUGACACCUAAAUAAAUUACCAUUAUACUAUAAUUGCUGGAAAAGAAGUCCUAUUCGACUGUGGAUUAUUCCUACUCUUGUUGCCUCUACGAUUCUCCGUUGGAAAGCCCCAAUUCCUAUAUUUGUUGUUGUACCGAAAACCUAGAACUUCGGGACGUGAAAGGAACUCCUCACCGUCGUUUUAUCAAGUCUCCGAAAUUUCGAUGGCGUGAAAUGUAUCAAUCCUAGUUAAGAAACAAAGCCAAACUUUAUGAGAUCUCAAGGAGGAUAAACUAAAUAAGUAGACUACCUGUAAAACAGUCCGUUUAUUUGUCUUCCGUAUACAUAACAAUGUUCACUUCGGUAGGUAUGUUCAGCUCUAUAAUUAUUAGGGUAUACACCUUAAGUUCUAUAUCUCUUUACAAUAAGAAGAUGAUUAACCAACGAACUGGUUUACAUGACAUCUACUAGAAUAACAACAACUUCUAUAUCUCUUUACAAUAACAAGGAGUAACAUCACCUACUACAGGUAGGAUUAAUAACUCUACUACCUUCAUGAUGAGUCCUCAAAACAGAGACUGGCUUAUUUAGACGGCUCCUUCUUCCC
rnacentral:rRNA from 1 species